AAAGUCUGAUGGAGCAACGCCGCGUGAGUGAAGAAGGUUUUCGGAUCGUAAAAUUCUGUUGUUGGAGAAGAAUGUAUCUGAUAGUAACUGAUCAGGUAGUGACGGUAUCCAACCAGAAAGCCACGGCUAACUACGUGCCAGCAGCCGCGGUAAUACGUAGGUGGCAAGCGUUGUCCGGAUUUAUUGGGCGUAAAGCGAGCGCAGGCGGUUUCUUAAGUCUGAUGUGAAAGCCUUCGGCUCAACCGAAGAAGUGCAUCGGAAACUGGGAAACUUGAGUGCAGAAGAGGACAGUGGAACUCCAUGUGUAGCGGUGAAAUGCGUAGAUAUAUGGAAGAACACCAGUGGCGAAGGCGGCUGUCUGGUCUGUAACUGACGCUGAGGCUCGAAAGCAUGGGUAGCAAACAGGAUUAGAUACCCUGGUAGUCCAUGCCGUAAACGAUGAGUGCUAGGUGUUGGAGGGUUUCCGCCCUUCAGUGCCGCAGCUAACGCAUUAAGCACUCCGCCUGGGGAGUACGACCGCAAGGUUGAAACUCAAAGGAAUUGACGGGGGCCCGCACAAGCGGUGGAGCAUGUGGUUUAAUUCGAAGCAACGCGAAGAACCUUACCAGGUCUUGACAUCCUUUGACCACUCUAGAGAUAGAGCUUUCCCUUCGGGGACAAAGUGACAGGUGGUGCAUGGUUGUCGUCAGCUCGUGUCGUGAGAUGUUGGGUUAAGUCCCGCAACGAGCGCAACCCUUAUUACUAGUUGCCAGCAUUUAGUUGGGCACUCUAGUGAGACUGCCGGUGACAAACCGGAGGAAGGUGGGGACGACGUCAAAUCAUCAUGCCCCUUAUGACCUGGGCUACACACGUGCUACAAUGGAUGGUACAACGAGUUGCGAGACCGCGAGGUUUAGCUAAUCUCUUAAAACCAUUCUCAGUUCGGAUUGUAGGCUGCAACUCGCCUACAUGAAGCCGGAAUCGCUAGUAAUCGCGGAUCAGCAUGCCGCGGUGAAUACGUUCCCGGGCCUUGUACACACCGCCCGUCACACCAUGAGAGUUUGUAACACCCAAAGCCGGUGAGGUAACCCUUCGGGGAGCCAGCCGUCUAAG
rnacentral:rRNA from 1 species